UACAGGACACACAUUAUCAUUAUUUCAGAGAGAUUCUUAUUUUUAUUUUGUACCAUUGACACUUGUUAAAGAGAGAUUAAUCUAGGCGAGUCUUUGGUUAUACAGUAGAGAGAUAAUAUUUUGUUGUAGAUUAUUUUUUAACUGUAAAAUUAAAUUUUCUGUUGAUAGAGGAAACCCGUUACGUUUCAGAUAGACGUUUUGAACAGCACGACAUAACGUUAGCUGAGGUCAUGCCCAGGUAAUUUUCUGCCAUGACUCUUUUCUGGUCACAUUUUCAGAUGAGUAUAUUAAACUAUUUUCUCAAGAAGAGAAAGGUUCCAGAGGAAGAGACUCAGGUAACCUUACAAGCUCAAUGUUCUUAAGACUUUUGUCGUGAUGUAAUUCCCUCAAGUCAAUAGAAAUGAUAAUGAGGAGACAGAAGGGCACAUGUAACCCGGUACAGAAAAUGACCAAUUUUCCUAUUUUAUUUGUUUAAAUGUAUUUGUCAUUUUAUUUUGAAAAACAUUAUUUUGGAAAGAGGAAGUGUUGUCUGCUUGCCGUAGCUUCACUCUACCUGUGUUUUGGUCACAUUAGGUGAUCUUGACCUUCUCAUUUGUCAAGAAUGAUGUUAGUCCCGCCUCCCCUUGCUGUGGACCUCUGCGUGCAUUAGUUUAGCGGUGUUUUUCCACUCAGACAAUGAGAGAGAGAAGCUGUCAGACGGUCCGAGCGCAAAUCACGGGUCGCCUAGGUGAGUUUCCAUCCGAGCAAGCGUGGUAAACAACUAUUUGUGCUGUUCAAAUGAUAACAUAAAACAUGUAUUUUGUUAGUGAAUGGGAGCACAAACUGUGAGGCCGCGAGGCUGUUUUCCUGAUCGUGUGCUUGCAGUAAAACCUCAUCUUGGCUAGGUAUUAUAGCUUGAUUAAGAAAACUCCGGAUUGGACGUUGGAACGCUGGAUACCUGGAUUCUUCUCUGGACAGAGAUGGCGAGCCAAGCCCGAACUGAACCAACCUUUUGACCGAAGAGCAUCAGUCUUCUCUCACAACCUCCAGCCAAGUGGUAACAACACAGACUACCACAACACGGGAAAAGGAACUGAACUGACAUAAAUCACGACUACACGACUAACCAGGACAAAACAAUACACUGAGCUCAGUAAAGAGUUGUGGGGUUUUAUUUUAUUUUUGAGAUGCCGGCUUAUUGUAAAUUUUGUUAAUUGUAUAUUGUUUAUGUUCUUAUUUUCCUAAAACAUAAUACUCAUUCUUACUCA